AACGAACGCUGGCGGCAGGCCUAACACAUGCAAGUCGAACGCUGUAGCAAUACAGAGUGGCAGACGGGUGAGUAACGCGUGGGAACAUGCCCUUCGGUUCGGAAUAACUCAGGGAAACUUGAGCUAAUACCGGAUACGCCCUUAGGGGGAAAGAUUUAUUGCCGAAGGAUUGGCCCGCGUCCGAUUAGCUAGUUGGUGAGGUAAUGGCUCACCAAGGCGACGAUCGGUAGCUGGUCUGAGAGGAUGAUCAGCCACACUGGGACUGAGACACGGCCCAGACUCCUACGGGAGGCAGCAGUGGGGAAUAUUGGACAAUGGGCGCAAGCCUGAUCCAGCCAUGCCGCGUGAGUGAUGAAGGCCCUAGGGUUGUAAAGCUCUUUCGCCAGGGACGAUAAUGACGGUACCUGGAUAAGAAGCCCCGGCUAACUUCGUG
rnacentral:rRNA from 1 species